UACGUAGGGUGCAAGCGUUAAUCGGAAUUACUGGGCGUAAAGCGUGCGCAGGCGGUUAUGUAAGACAGUUGUGAAAUCCCCCGGGCUCAACCCUGGGGAAUUGGCAUCUGUGACUGCAAUAGCUAGAGUACGGGUAGAGGGGGAUGGAAUUCCGCGUGUAGCAGUGAAAUGCGUAGAUAUGCGGAGGAACACCGAUGGCGAAGGCAAUCCCCUGGACCUGUA
rnacentral:rRNA from 1 species